CUACCAGGCAGAGCGCGUGUGGCCGCCGAGCACAUGGACCCACUGGUCAAGCGGGCUCGGCAAGGCCAGGAUGAAGAGAAGCUACGAACUUAGCAUUCCCAGAGCCCCCCGAGUGGAUAUCCGCGUGGAAAGGAUGUUGGCAGCCCCGGUGACCUCGGAGUCACGGCUGGAUCCACCCUCUUAGAGCCGAGUUCUGUCACCACAGACAUUGGCAGUGGCACUUGCAUGCCCCUGGCAAGCAGUCUAUCCUGAGGUGGAGGAAGUUGCCCUUGAGUUCUGGCUGGUAACCAGCACAGGGGCUGGGACACUGCCUGAUUGAGGUGGCCAUUGAGAAUUCAAGUGUACCUCUUGGUCCCUGAUGCAGAAAUGAAGUCCCCAGCAUGCUCAAGAAGAGCUUCCUUGGAGGAUGAGAGGCAUGGGAAUCUAAGUAUACCCUUUAAGCGUUCCAGAAGGAUUUUGAGAUCCUUUCCUAAAUCAAAGGUGGAAUAUUUGGGGAUUUGGAAAAUUGAGAUGUGAAGCGUUGACUUAAGAGAUGCCAAGUAACUCAGCAGAUGUCACACAGACGAUAAAUAGCAAAGAUGGAAGUCUUCAUGCCGGAGGCAAUCCUAUAAGACAGCUGAGUUCUGCAGAGCUGGUAGGAGACAGACUUGCUCAGGUGAUAGAUCCAGCCAUGAUACUGACCCUAAGAGAAUGAGACGCUCUGCAGAAGACAGAAGAUUCCUGAAACUGGGAAAGGUGCCUAGAAAUCCUGAUAAGAGUGAAGAAGGGUACCUGGAGGCACAGCAGCCAUGUUGAACCUAUGAGGUGAUGAAAAACCAUGCAACUAGAAACCAGAAUGGAAGAAAAGAAGAAGCUGGAUCCUUGACUGAAUUGUCGAUGGGGGAUAGUCCAUCAUCCCAGGGCUAAGACCACCUCCAGAUUUCUUGUUUGGUGAAACAAGUCCUGAUUGUUUACAUUCCCUCGUGUUGAGCUGUCUCUUGCUUGUAGCUGAAAGCAUUUCUAAUAGAUAUUCAGAUUAUCAGCCUUAGCUCCAAGCUAGAAUACUCUAUGGGACCUUAGCUUCUCCAUGAAUUCCUUUGCUCAUCUGUGUAAUGCUCAAUAAAUGUAAAUUGAACCCUGAAUGAGGGACAAUGA
rnacentral:lncRNA from 1 species